rnacentral:rRNA from 1 species
UACAGAGGUGGCAAGCGUUGUUCGGAAUUACUGGGCGUAAAGGGCGCGUAGGCGGUCUUUUAAGUCUUGUGUGAAAUCCCUCGGCUCAACUGAGGAACUGCACGAGAUACUGGAAGACUUGAGUUCGGGAGAGGGAAGCGGAAUUCCGGGUGUAGCGGUGAAAUGCGCAGAUAUCAGGAGGAACACCAAUGGCGAAGGCAGCACUCUGGGACGUGACUGACGCUGAGACGCGAAAGCUAGGGGAGCGAACAGG